UUCUUUCUUCCAGGAAAUGGAAGACAGUUUGGAUGAAGCCUUUUCCAGACUGGCAGCAUCGCGUACUAACCCCCAGGUCUUGGACAUUGGGGUGAUGCCCCAAGACUGGCUCACCGAACCUGACUGGGACAGCACUGACGGAAGCCCUCACCACUGUUUCAGCGCACACAAAGAUGAUCCCUUUGGUUUCUGAUAACUGAUCUCGGCACAGCAGAGAAGGAAGGGCGGAAACUUUCCUUCCUUUAACGUAAUGCAAGAUUUACCAAGAGGCAACAGUGAGAGCACAAGGGAACAAGCGUGGUCCUCGCUUCUGCACUUUUCCCAUGCGUAGUUCUUCCUUGUACUCGGUCUGCUGCAUCUGCGCACCAAAGCAAUAAUAACAUCCCAUAUUAACACUACGUAUAAUCUGCUGUUACGCUGCAAACGACCUGUAGUGGAGUCUUUCAGCAUAAUCAGCAUAUGAUGCAGCAUUUGUUCACCUAAUCAGUAUUUGUGGCCGCAGAAGUAACAUGUAUGUGCUUUGGUUACAUUGUAUAGUUACAGUUUUUUUGUUAAAUGCAUAAAGUAGGACAGUUUAACCUGAAAAUCAGAUGACAAACCUUAACAAGGUAAUUACUGUUUUCAGUUGUUAUUCACUUCCUUCAUGGAUUUAUUGUGUAGUUUUGGCCUUCCUUUGCCAACACAUAUUCUUCUGUGUAUAAUCUGAAAUUUUAUUCUAUUUAUUUAUGUCCUUUGCAUAUUGUAGUAUGCCUAUAUUUCUCACUGAUGCAAUGAAAAUUCAUGUUGAAUGACCAUCUUAAUGAACGUUUUUUAAUCAACCGGCUUUGUACAGGAAUAAAAUGUAUUAAUUAAAUGCA